CUUUUUUUUUUUAUUUUUUUGUUUUCCCUUCCCCCUUGUAAAGCUUUCUGCACAGUGAAGCAGGUUUGGCUGAGAAGUUUAAGUUUUAUUGAACGCCGAAAGCCGUUUUCUGGCCUGCUGUUUGGUUCCUGCUGUGCAGUUUGGGAGGAAAUCCAGUUUUACAGCUGAGUUUCAGUUUAUGUUCUCAGUUAGCCUUGAGGAAUGACUGUCCCUUCGUGAACCUGACAAUGAAGACAAAAAUCAUCAAGUAUGUUCCAGCAUCAAAGCAGGGUGGAAGAAAAUCCAGACUUCACCAAUUUAAAAUGAUAAUCAACAAAGUGAUGAUGUCUUACAUACCGACAAAGUUUGCGGAGGAAACAGAGCUACAAAUAAUAGAUGCUUAAACAUAUAAAAUGGUGCCAUUCUUUAAGGAAACAAUAAGAGAACAGAACAGAAGAGAUAUACCAAACAGACAAAGAAAGAAAAGAAAAAAGGUGGGGGGGAAAAGAGGAAAAGCAGAGAUAAAUGUGUCUGUGUAUAAACAUACUUCCUUUGAGUGACACUUGAUGAAAAUUAUACAUUGCAACAUAAAUAACAGUAAAGCCUUUGCGAGGUCCAUCUGCAUCUCAGCCACUACUGAUCUGGUGUCUUGCACCCUCAGUAGCAUUUGAUCGGAUUCCAUGGAGAUAGGCACGGAAACCAUUUGUAAUUGAGAUUUGUAAUUAAGAUGCAGUCAUCCAAAUUGAAACCGGUAUGAAAAUAUGAACUUGAAAAUAAUAACUGGUAUUUAUCCAUGACAUCAGGUUACCAAAAGCAGUAAGCAGUCCAGGGGCUGUCCUGGACCUACUGUAUCUUGAUUUUGGCAUUGGCACGUAGGACUCAAAUUUCUUUCCACUCCCCGAGUACUGUCAGUUAUGCCUGUGGACCAGCCUUCUGAGUCCAGUUACUUCAAAGAAAGUUUUUUAACUCCUCAAAAUUAUAAACAUCUUUACCAAUGAACAGUGUGAAGACAACGGCACAGACUAUUCAAAACAUUCCCUUUAGUUUGCUAACACAUAGCAAUAGUUGUUGGACCUAGAGUAUAAAUUAGAUAAGACUAGUGAAGACAGUAGGAUUUUUCUUAUGGGCCAUUGCAGAGUUCUCAAAAUAACCAUGUAAUCAAGAAUUAAGUCCAAAUCAGUUAAGCUGUCUUGGGAAACAUACUACUGCUGAUAAGUGAUAGAUCCUCAGCUGAUGUAAACAGAUGUAAUUCUAUUGAUGUACUCCUCACACAGCUGUGGAUUUAUCUCCAUAUUAAUCUACACGGUGGAAAGUUUUCUUACCCCCCACUGGCCAAAUGACUCCCCAGUGUGUUGUCUGUCCUUCUGGGAGAUCAAAAAUGCAGAGCUGAAAGUGUGUGUAUUCUGAAUUGAAGAAAAUGCAGCUGUCAGCAUAUAUGAAAGCGUAUUACUGGAUCAAAAUAAAAAAUAAC
rnacentral:lncRNA from 1 species